rnacentral:sRNA from 1 species
UGAUAUAUUUUAUUAUUCCUGAAAUAAUAAAAAAAUAGAGCCUGCCGACAUCCGUCAGGCUCUACAGUACACACAGCAGCGCUUCCUUUCGUUAUUUUAUGCAAGUUCAUCCCUGCAUCUUAAAUAUAGUUAUAGCUGCCCUUCAUUAUCUUUCCACUAUUAAUUGGUGAUUAAUUUCA